rnacentral:pre_miRNA from 1 species
UAUGUACUCCCUCCGUCCGGAAAUACUUGUCAUCAAAAUGGAUAGAAAGAUUCUUUCUAUCCAUUUUGAUGACAAGUAUUUCCGGACAGAGGAAGUAUUAA